rnacentral:misc_RNA from 1 species
CAGAAAGAUGGCUACUGGUCAAAAUCACGGGCAGUGCCAAAUUUGUAUAUAUUCGCCCUUGAAUUUACCAACAGCUCGUUAGAAUUUACCAGUAAUGUUGGAAUUUACCACCAGGCUAAAGAUGGCGUCUCGCUGGUGCGGCUUGCUCGGUUUGAUCCAGUGGUUUGAUCAUAGUUUGAUCGGCGGCGCGCGAUUCCGACCGCGGUUAGAUGUUUACGUUGCUGGUGAGGUUACAUCAGAGUCUAUGCGGCAAGAGCUCUUCCGUCUUCAUCCUCAGCACCCCUGGGGAAGCGAUUUAUUCUACUACUCCGUAAUUCAAUUAUCAGAUGGACAAUCAAACAAAAGACUGUGUGCGCGCGUUUUUUUUUUUUUUUUCCUUCUUUUUUUUUCUCGAGGAGAGCGACGGAGGUGCCGUUGGAGUUUUGAGGCGCACGGUGGACAAGACCCAGGGACCACGUCGAUGUCCGGAGUAGUCCGGGGAGCAGGAGGACCCCGUCGACCCAAACGUAUCGCCAGCAAUUCGGGCUCGGCUGCUGGUAGCGGCCCGCGUUCGCCAGGAGACAAAGGUAUUCUCCAGGCAACUGAACACCACUGUCCCCGACCGGGCCCUCAGCCAGAUCGAGGUCCACGAGAACCUUUGCGAAUUUCUCGGGUGCCGCUGCGACGGAGUCGGGGGCGUGGACCCGGGCCGCGUGCCCCCGGAAAAGCCCCCGAGGGCCACCCAAGGCACUGUGACCGACAGCCUGUGGCCCACCGGGACCGCCGCUGCCGAAAUGACGGACCAGACCGCCGCUGCCGUGAUGGCGGACCAGCCCGGGCGGGGCGGAGUGACCACGGCCUCGGCUCCCGUAAUGGCGGCGAUGAGAGACAAUGGGGAGCCCUCCCCGGUCGGCUCCCCCGCACCGGGCGGCAAAGAUGGCGCCCGUGCCCGCCCAAGAUCCUCAUCUUGCCCGGGGGGGGGGGGGGAGGAGAGGAGGGGGAGGGAGGGAGGGAGGGGAGGAGAAGGGGAGAGACAUCACCCCCCGGCCCCUCGCUGUCCCGGCAGAGUCCGCGCCGGCAGCAGGCUCCACGUCUGCCCCCCUCGACCCCCGUUUCCACUCUGCGAACAUCUUCCAGGACCUGCGCGAUGACGACUGCGGCGACGAUCUCCAUGCCCCCUGGAGGAAAGUCUGCAGAGGAGGGAGGCUGGAUAAGGGAUGCGGAGGAGCGGGCAACGGCGCCGUGCCCCUCCACCUUCAGAACGGCAGCAAGCACAUCGAGACAUGCCGGGACGCGGGUCAGCCAACCCCCCAGACCGUCCUGCUUUGGCACAGAGAGCGGGCGGCCCUGAAAAGAGCUAACCGCUUCAGUGUGGGGCGGGACAACGGUCUGAUCGCGGGCAGGGGCUGCACCACCCGCAUCAACCUCAGGCGGAACAUCGUCGUGGUGGACACUACCGACGAGGAGAUGGCUGCCCGUCUCCUCGCAAUAAAGAAGUUGGGAGAGAUCGAGGCGGAGGCGCUGCUUGCCACCCAUAGAAGGGGUCCCACAGGGCUGGUGAUUGAUGUGAACCCGGACGCCUUCCUCGCGGACGUCGAGUCUCCCUUCCGCGUCAUCGCGGCCCACCGGACCAACCAUGGAAGGGACUUGCGACACAAAGGGCAAUUUUGAAGCAAAAUGUGGCUCAUCUAAAAAAAGUGGACGUCACUGCAGGCAUUAUUGCACGGAAAAGUGCUGGAAUGAAUUGUCUGGCUUAGCAAUGACUGGUGUACCCUGCAAAUGAAACCCAUCAAAUGGCCUGCUCCGUAUAAAGAUCUCAUGCAACACCAGUGGCGAUUCCCGGCCGGCAAAGUGGUGGAAGUCUCCCGUUUGCCCCGCCGAAAAGGUGGAAGGUACGACGCCAGAAGGCG